rnacentral:rRNA from 1 species
GACAGAGGGUGCAAACGUUGUUCGGAAUUACUGGGCGUAAAGCGCGUGUAGGCGGCUAUCUAAGUCGGGCGUGAAAUCCCAUGGCUCAACCAUGGAAGUGCACCCGAAACUGGGCAGCUAGAGUCCUGGAGAGGAAGGUGGAAUGCUUGGUGUAGAGGUGAAAUUCGUAGAUAUCAAGCGGAACACCGGUGGCGAAGGCGGCCUUCUGGACAGUGACUGACGCUGAGACGCGAAAGCGUGGGGAGCAAACAGG